rnacentral:rRNA from 1 species
AUGUUCCUCCACAGCGAACAUACCCCCUUACUUUUGGAUUUGUUUCUUGGGUUUAAGAGUUCUGCAUUUGUACAGUGUUAUAAUUGCAUGUUUUCCUCAUCCUUUUCCCUAGCUGUUGUGUAUGUUGUUUCCAUGAGAGCUUUUGUUGCGCAGUUUGCUAUACACCAAACAUCUACUAGAGGUCGUGAUGACAAGUACUAUGGCUUACAUGCCACGAUGGAUGUGUACGGUCACAAACUAAAACCCGGACAGUGGAGUACGGUUGCAAUUUGGGUUACUCAUACUGGAGAUGGUGCUAGAUCAAGCAUUAACUCGAUUCAAGUUGGAUGGCAUAUUUAUCCAUAG